rnacentral:misc_RNA from 1 species
GAUGAAGAACGCAGCGAAAUGCGAUAAGUAGUGUGAAUUGCAGAAUUCAGUGAAUCAUCGAAUCUUUGAACGCACAUUGCGCCCCUUGGUAUUCCAUGGGGCAUGCCUGUUCGAGCGUCAUUUGUACCUUCAAGCUCUGCUUGGUGUUGGGUGUUUGUCUCGCCUCUGCGUGUAGACUCGCCUUAAAACAAUUGGCAGCCGGCGUAUUGAUUUCGGAGCGCAGUACAUCUCGCGCUUUGCACUCAUAACGACGACGUCCAAAAGUACAUUUUUACACUCUUGACCUCGGAUCAGGUAGGGAUACCCGCUGAACUUAAGCAUAUCAAUAAGCGGAGA